UUCGAAAGCCUCAGAAUCCAAAGAUAACGAAUUUUCUAAACAAAAUUCACCACCAAAACCACCCAUUAAAAAUGUCUCCCUGCUCCUGCAACUGCUGCUCCGGCGACUGCAACUCCUGCAGCUGCAAAAGCUGUUCUGUAAGUUGGACCUGACG
rnacentral:sRNA from 1 species